rnacentral:rRNA from 1 species
AGAACGAACGCUGGCGGCAGGCCUAACACAUGCAAGUCGAGCGCUGUAGCAAUACAGAGCGGCGCACGGGUGAGUAACACGUGGGAACGUGCCUUUCGGUUCGGAAUAACUCAGGGAAACUUGUGCUAAUACCGGAUACGCCCCUUGGGGGAAAGAUUUAUCGCCGAUUGAGCGGCCCGCGUCCGAUUAGCUUGUUGGUGAGGUAAAAGCUCACCAAGGCAACGAUCGGUAGCUGGUUUGAGAGAACGAUCAGCCACACUGGGACUGAGACACGGCCCAGACUCCUACGGGAGGCAGCAGUGGGGAAUCUUGGACAAUGGGGGAAACCCUGAUCCAGCCAUGCCGCGUGAGUGAUGAAGGCCCUAGGGUUGUAAAGUCCUUUUAACGGGGAAGAUAAUGACGGUACCCGUAGAAUAAGCCCGGCUAACUUCGUGCCAGCAGCCGC